CAGUAGCCGCGGGAAUACGUAGGUGGCAAGCGUUGUCCGGAAUUAUUGGGCGUAAAGGGCUCGCAGGCGGUUUCUUAAGUCUGAUGUGAAAGCCCCCGGCUCAACCGGGGAGGGUCAUUGGAAACUGGGAAACUUGAGUGCAGAAGAGGAGAGUGGAAUUCCACGUGUAGCGGUGAAAUGCGUAGAGAUGUGGAGGAACACCAGUGGCGAAGGCGACUCUCUGGUCCGUAACUGACGCUGAGGAGCGAAAGCGUGGGGAGCGAACAGGAUUAGAUACCCCCGUAGUCCCUGUCUCUUAUAC
rnacentral:rRNA from 1 species